GGGGAAUAUUGGACAAUGGGCGCAAGCCUGAUCCAGCCAUGCCGCGUGAGUGAUGAAGGCCUUAGGGUUGUAAAGCUCUUUUGUCCGGGACGAUAAUGACGGUACCGGAAGAAUAAGCCCCGGCUAACUUCGUGCCAGCAGCCGCGGUAAUACGAAGGGGGCUAGCGUUGCUCGGAAUCACUGGGCGUAAAGGGCGCGUAGGCGGCCGAUUAAGUCGGGGGUGAAAGCCUGUGGCUCAACCACAGAAUUGCCUUCGAUACUGGUUGGCUUGAGACCGGAAGAGGACAGCGGAACUGCGAGUGUAGAGGUGAAAUUCGUAGAUAUUCGCAAGAACACCAGUGGCGAAGGCGGCUGUCUGGUCCGGUUCUGACGCUGAGGCGCGAAAGCGUGGGGAGCAAAC
rnacentral:rRNA from 1 species